rnacentral:rRNA from 1 species
UCUUGGUCAUUUAGAGGAAGUAAAAGUCGUAACAAGGUCUCCGUAGGUGAACCUGCGGAGGGAUCAUUACUGAGUGAGGGCUCACGCCCGACCUCCAACCCUUUGUGAACACAUCUUGUUGCUUCGGGGCGACCCUGCCGGCACUACGUCGCCGGGCGCCCCCGAAGGUCUCCAAACACUGCAUCUUUGCGUCGGAGUUUGAACAAAUUAAACAAAACUUUCAACAACGGAUCUCUUGGUUCUGGCAUCGAUGAAGAACGCAGCGAAAUGCGAUAAGUAAUGUGAAUUGCAGAAUUCAGUGAAUCAUCGAAUCUUUGAACGCACAUUGCGCCCUUUGGUAUUCCGAAGGGCAUGCCUGUUCGAGCGUCAUUUCACCACUCAAGCCUGGCUUGGUAUUGGGCGUCGCGGCUCCGCGCGCCUUAAAGUCUCCGGCUGAGCCAUUCGUCUCUAAGCGUUGUGGAUUUUCUAAUUCGCUUCGGAGUGCGGUUGGCCGCGGCCGUUAAAUCUUCUCAAGGUUGACCUCGGAUCAGGUAGGGAUACCCGCUGAACUUAAGCAUAUCAAUAAGCCGGAGGAA